GGAAGACCUAAAAAUAGUGGCAAAAAGCCAACCGAGCUUGGUGAUAGCUGGUUACUCAACAAAUGAACCUUAGUUCAACUUUAGGUGCCCAUGGGCCAACUACUUUAACCCACCACCCUUUAACCUAAAGAAAUUCAAUGGGGGUACAGCCCCAUUGAACCGGAAUACAACCCGAAUUGAGAGACACCUACUAAACUUUAACCCUAACAGUAGGCCCCAAAGCAGCCACCAACUAAACGCGUUACAGCUACAACAAAACAAUUUUUACAAUAAUAUACACCUCCUAGUAUACCACGAGUUAUUCUAUUUUUUAAUAGAAACACCAAUGCUAAAAUUAGUAAUAAGAAACCCUAAUUUCUCUCCGCACCCCCUUAAAUCAGAAUAGAAAAACUACUGAUAAUUAACACAACACGACCUACAACAACUAGCUAACAUGUCAACUAAAAUCUGUUACCCCAACACAGGAGUGCAAAAAAGAAAGGCAAAAAGCCAUAAAAGGAACUCGGCAAACCCCACCGUCCCAACUGUUUACCAAAAACAUAGCCUUUAGCUCAACAAGUAUUAAAGGUCCCGCCUGCCCAGUGACUCUUUAAACGGCCGCGGUAUCCUAACCGUGCAAAGGUA
rnacentral:rRNA from 2 species